rnacentral:sRNA from 15 species
UUGGUCUAUACAGCGUUCGACAGCGAGGAGGAGGCUGUGCGGCUUGCCAAUGAUACUGCUUAUGGCUUAGGAAGUGCUGUCAUUACAGACAACGAUGAACAGUGCGAUCGAGUCGCCCAUCAACUACAUGCAGGUGUUGUCUG